ensembl:lncRNA
GUCUGUGUCUCUGCGUGUGUGUGUGUGUGUGUGUGUGUGUGUCUGUCUGCGCGCACGGAUGAGCGUUGGUUUAUCUCGAAAGCAGCGGCAGUGGCUCACACUUGUGGCGAUCAAACUGCAUGCUGAUAAAUUCAGCCCUGUUCCACAGGACAGUGGUUUUGCGCUUAUCAGCCAAGCAGCUACGCCUAUGAUGAUUUUCAAACCCAGAACGAAGACAGAUACCUCAUGCCUUCUCUGUGGCAGCACAGUAUAAGCAAUGAUAAUGAGUAAAUGAGUACUACCAUUACAGACAUGGAAGCUAACACACACGCAAACACACACACACUCACACACAAAUGCUACAAGCAACAGUUAAGCUUCGAAGGGGGUGAGAGAACACACCAGUUACUGUCUACAUUUUCAAAAGGGAGGCGAUGCAGUGUUCAACAUAAUUACAUUCAGAUGACCGAAAGUGCACAUUUCACACGAAGCCAUGGGGCAGUAAAAGCUCACACUGAGCUGGCCAGUGCUUUUUUUUUUUUUUAUUGGUGGGGAGCAAGUCACCCUCACACCGCUUCUCCCUCUGCAUAAACCUGGCCUCUUAUCUUCACCGCGGAGGCCUCAUCUCGGGUCUGUGCAGCUGCCCCGGCAGUCCGAGUCACUGCAUUUGUCAGCGUUUCAUUUUUUCCCCGGAUACCGGGAGGAAACUUGUAAAAUCGAGGGUUCAGGAGAAGAGAAAGUGACCAAGAAAUUAAAAAAAGAGAAACACUAAUGUAUUACAACAUGGGAUUUCCUGUUCUUUCAAAGAGUUGUGUGCGUGUGUGUGCAUGUGUGUGUGAGCAUGUGUGUGUGAGCUUGCCUGUGAUAAUUAGGGUGGUGUUUUGAACACGAAAACAAGGAGCCCAGGAGGAUUUAAUGUAACACUGCUGGCACUCACCGUGUUGUGAGAAACUGCUUUAUCGAGGAAUAAAUGGUCUGGCCCUUUGGUCAAGUGCUUUCCAGUUUGGCACAAUGCUGGUGAAAUGAUGUGCAACCCUCGCACAAGAGUGACAUCCAGGGACCCAGUGCACCAUCAGCUGUGCACUUGUGCAUGCACGUUUGUGCACAAUAUCGAGCCUUGACAAUGAAUUGAUUAAUCCUUAUGUCACAUUCUCAAACAGAUUCCAACAACUGACUGAAAAAAACAGCAGGUCUUGGAAAGGUUAUAUGUUGUCCAUUUUCACAAAGUUUAACAAACCAUGUCAAUGUCUUCUUUGAGAUUGUGUCAGAGCCGUUUCCAAGUCAGUCCUCUGCUAUAAACAUCAAAUGCUACGGUGAGGAGCAGGUAUGCGGAGAGAUGAUUGACAGGACAUCUGCCAAGACUCACUGCAUUUAAUGCAGAAUGCACAGCGCUUUAGUGCAGAAGAAGACAUGAACGCUGUAUCUCUCUCAGAUGAAUGGAGGAUUUUUUUCCGCUCAGAUGAGUUUGCCUCUGCUGGAUGGUGGAGGAGGGGCGGGUAGGACAGGAGGGAAAAACACAACAACCUGCACACGCUCAGCAUAUGGACAAUAUAAUCUAAUUAACACAGCAGCGUGAGCACGAAGACCCCAUCUGAAAGAUGUCCCAGAGCACCGAACAAGACAGACAACGAGGUCUAAAUGCGUUUAGCUUCCCCUCAAUGCACAGCCGCGGUGCCGAUUGAGAAGGGGAGCACUUUCAUUAGCCCGCAUUGUGCAUAAUGUUGACUGUUCUGAAAAAUAAAAUAAACGACUUUGUAUGACUAUUUUUAGCAUUCCACAGACACCCAUACGAAAAAAUGCCAGAUACCGUGAAACAACCCAGAAUGCUUUUCCACAGUGGGGUGAUAUCAUAAUGUGAUGGGCUUCUCUGAGGGCAUCAACAGCAGGACCAGUGCCAUUGUGCUUACAUAACUAAACUUCCUCACUUGUUCGUCCUGGAUGGCUCCAUUGCCCCAUAUAGCGAAGGGAAGUGCACUACAGGCCAAGGGGCCACUGACUGGGGGAAGGUCACGUAAGAUCUCCCACAAAUACACACGCAGAGCCAGGUCAGAUGGGGCUAAACCAGAGCCAGCCUUAUAGCAUAGGCUUACAUCUUCUCAAAGCCUAUACAAAUAUCAGCACCAUGAAUGUAUUUCGUGUUCGGAUUCUGUGCCUUCCAGUAAGGAUGAGUUUUACGGGGGAUUGUGAGACGGCUACAGGUGUUGUAGUAACUGUAACCACCAACUAAAAACUGAGCCGUGAAACGCUAUUACUCCUUAGGUUUUUUUGUAUUGGUAGGUUGGUCCACGUAUGAGUUAUAUGAAACGGUGCAAGUUAUUGUGCAAGGAAAAAAUGUUUAUGGUGUCUGAGUAGGCCAAGGGUAAACUGUAGCGCAUACAUUUCCAAACAAACUCGCUAGUGAUUAAUGUAGUCUUUGGGAGACCUUUUGAGGGGAGAAGAGCGUUCACCUCAGGCUGCGCGUUUAAAGUAGGUUUUCUAGCACAUGUUGAUAAGGCGGCUUGUUUAAUAGCAAUCGAGGUCAGGAGGACCCGUGCCUGCCACAAAUACCUACAUUGUGUAUUAUUAUCAUGUUAGAACAUGUUGAAAAUUAGCAGUUAACUUUAUUGCGUCGUAAAAUGACAGCCAUGUAUUCUGCUUGCACAUUAAACUGCAGCCUAUCAGACUGCGUCGGCGAGCGUUACAAGUUAAAUCAUUGAUAAGAAUAAACCGGUCAGAAAAUCAAUGUGAAGCGCUUUUGAGCGCCAUAGGGUACAGUUGGUGAGAGCAAUGGGUGGGUGAGAAACGUUGUAGACUUUUUGAUGGCCCAGGGGCAACAUUGUUUCAAUGUUUCAAUGUUGCAUUGUUGCACGCUGUUUCGAAAGAUCAACAGUCACUUCUACAAUUGAUUUGGACCUGAUGUGUUGACUCGUGCAGGCUACAGGCAUCGUUAAAAACUUUACCUUAUACACAUUUCAUAUCGAAUUCACAGUUUAAAAAAAAAAAAAAACAUUUACCAACGCUUGUACAACUUACCUGGAUAUGAGCGUUAAUCACUUUUUAUUGCAACUCAACAUAAAUAUUGACAGUGUGAUAGGGACCUGUCACUUGUGUACGUAGCACCAUUAGUGUAGCUGAGUGUGGUUCUAUAGUGUAUGUAUAUACACACACACACACACAGACACUCACACACACACACUAUAUAUGUAUGUGUGUGUGUUUGAGAGAGAGAGAGAGAGAGAGAGAGAUACUCGCCUAGGCCUUUCAUAUAUUCCAGGACUGCUUGUAGCCUACUGUAACUUUAGACGUAGCGUUUUCAAUGUCAGCCAAAUCGAUUGUAAAAGCUGCAGACAAUGUAUGCCUACAUGCUGAAAUUGUUAAAGCGACAACACGGAAGGCAAGGCCAAACUGAAAAUAACGCUAUAGCCUAUAUGUUACUAUAGCUAGUUGGCUACUGCUGAUCUGUCAAACCCGAAGAGCUAGCUACAGGAGUUGGGUUAGCUUCUAGUGAUAAAAUAGCAAAUUGCUAAAUGCAUGACCACCACGUAAUAGUAGCUUUACCAACAACGUAUGAGCAACAGUAACACUCACCGCCAGUUUCUUCGGUCGCCGAACACGCGAACUGGAACCUUUCGGGACAGAAAACGGGGCUGGAAAUGUCCAGGCUGUCCCUCAAUCCGGUGCAAGUGUAGUAGUAGCCUAUACACUGCACAGUAAGGUAUAUUCGAGCUAAUUCCUCCGCAGGGUGCAGCGUGCCGUCAAAUGAAUGUUUCAUGCAGUUCCUGUGUUGCUCUUUAGCGAAGUCACUGUGCGCUCGUUAUUGUGGAUUUUCCUUGGUAUGUGGGGGGAAAGUGCUCCGGUUGUGUUCGUUGGCUGCCACGACAGGGGUAGAAAAUUCAGAGAAAUACUAUUGCUCCUCCCUCCCCUCGCUCUUGUACAGUACAGAGCGCGCACAGCUCACGGCCCGUAUAAAACAAUUAAAUAAAACCAUCUACUGCUCUCUACAGGACUGACAUUGUAAAGUACUUGUAGCGGAGACUGUUCAGCUGUAAUGGCACAACAAACCCAAGACAAAAUAGCCUACUGCCAUUCACACGGUAAGAAAGACAGCGGUGAGUGAAGUAAGGACGGACGUUCUGUG